UUGUCCGAGCGGUUAAGGAGAAUGACUAGAAAUCAUUUGGGUUCAUCCCGCACAGGUUCGAAUCCUGUAGC
rnacentral:tRNA from 12 species